rnacentral:rRNA from 1 species
UACGGAGGGUGCAAGCGUUACUCGGAAUUACUGGGCGUAAAGGGCGCGUAGGCGGUUUAAUAAGUUUGGUGUGAAAGCCCGGGGCUCAACCCCGGAAGUGCAUUGAAUACUGUUAGACUAGAGUGUUGGAGAGGUGGGUGGAAUUCCAGGUGUAGAGGUGAAAUUCGUAGAUAUCUGGAGGAACAUCAGUGGCGAAGGCGGCCCACUGGACAACAACUGACGCUGAGGUGCGAAAGCGUGGGGAGCAAACAGG